rnacentral:rRNA from 1 species
AUUGAACGCUGGCGGCAUGCUUUACACAUGCAAGUCGAACGGUAACAGGUUAAGCUGACGAGUGGCGAACGGGUGAGUAAUGCAUCGGAACGUGCCCGGUCGUGGGGGAUAACGCAGCGAAAGCUGCGCUAAUACCGCAUACGAUCUGAGGAUGAAAGCGGGGGACCGUAAGGCCUCGCGCGAUCGGAGCGGCCGAUGUCAGAUUAGGUAGUUGGUGGGGUAAAGGCUCACCAAGCCAACGAUCUGUAGCUGGUCUGAGAGGACGACCAGCCAAACUGGGACUGGGACACGGCCCAGACUCCUACGGGAGGCAGCAGUGGGGAAUUUUGGACAAUGGGCGCAAGCCUGAUCCAGCAAUGCCGCGUGCAGGAAGAAGGCCUUCGGGUUGUAAACUGCUUUUGUAUGGAGCGAAAAGGUCUUCCCUAAUACGGGAGGCUGAUGACGGUACCGUAAGAAUAAGCACCGGCUAACUACGUGCCAGCAGCCGCCGUAAAAC